ensembl:snoRNA
AGCACUUCAUGUCUUGUUUCACCUCUCCACUGGUGUAGACUCCAUGCAAGUGCUGAUAUCAAACCUUCUCUUGCAACCCACAAUGAAUUGUCUUGUAUGAAUUGUGUUACUUACGGGAAGGGACAAC